rnacentral:rRNA from 1 species
AUUGUUUGAAGCAUGUUGUGCCCUUCGGGUUAACGGAGAAUCUAGCAAACUGAGGUCCCAUUCGUUAACGGAAUUAAUCAGAUAAAUCGCUUCACAAACUAAGAAUGGCCAUGCACCACCACCCGUAGAUUUAUCUGGUUAAUUCCGUUAACGAACGAGACCUCAGUUUGCUAACUAGCUAUGCCGAUGUAACCCUUCGUAGCCAGCUUCUUAGAGGGACUAUGACCUUUUUGGCUGUGGAAGUUUGAGACAAUAACAGGUCUGUGAUACCCUUAGAUGUUCUGGGCCACAAGUGCACUACAUUGAUGUAUUCAACGAGUUUAUAGCUUUGGCUGACAGGUCCGGGUAAUCUUCGAAAUUUCAUCAUGAUGGAGAUAGAUCAUUGUAAUUGUUGGUCUUCAAUAAGGAAUUCCUAGUAAGCGUAAGUCAUCAGUUCAUAUUGACUACAUCCCU